GACAGUCCAAAUAGUGCAAAAGAGUACAUUGCACUAGACAGACAGUAUAUAGUUUUCUUAUUUUGCACAUUUAAACUGCUUUACAGGAACACAUUCUGCAGGAAUAACCCUACCAGCAGAAGGUUGUUGGUCUUCAUUUAGAUCCCGUGUCUUCUAAUUUAGCCUGGUGUAGCUUAAUGGUUAAUGGAUGACAAGAUGUAAUGACCAAUGCUUGUGAUCUCAUGAAGUACUUGCUGCAUAUUGAUAAUCGCUCAGGGAAUAUCAGGCUGCAUGUUACUGAGGUAUGUUAGUGCAUCUAUGAAUGGAACAUACUUGAGCUAGAAAAUGAUCUGGGAAAUGAUUUGUGAUAGCAUUGCUUUACCAUGGUGUGGCAGCUGUCCUUGAUGGAGGACUCAUUGUGUGCUGAGAUGCUGAUGUGUGCAUAGAGGCUUAGGAAAGAUGAAAAAUGCUUAGUCAAAUUCAGACACGCCAACCAGACUCCCUGCCCGCUCCCCACCUUGGGCUAUUAUGACUGGCUUCCCAAGCGACCCAGACAAGUCAUAGUGACCUUUUCUGCAGCCCUUGCUAUGUGGAGUCGCUAUGUUGAGGCAGGUUUACACACCCUCGCACAACGCUGCUGCAAAACAAUGAACAAAUCUAUUUAACAGAGGCGAUUUGCAGUGCGGGAUGUGUUCAUAUCACAAUCUGAUGACCAUAAUUAGAAGUGGAAGUAAAAGGGCUGAAAUGUGGUGCACAGGUGAGUGCCAGAGGAAGGGGGGCCUUUCUGAAAGUGACAGCUGUGGUCUGAUAGGGAUGGCUGGCUUUGGGGAAAUGGUUUAGUCCUGGCCAGCACCAAGCCUGUUUUAGAAUAUUUGUCCCAGUUUGGGUUUUAAUCUUUUUUAUCUCCAGUUUAGCCCCAAUCAGUCUAGAUGUAAUAUGAAUGGACUUGUACUCUUGUUUGUUUGUUUGUUUAGUAUAUAUGAAUAUAAUAUGAAUUCGCUGACUGAGAGGUCAUCCCAAAAACCUGCACCCACACUGGCUCUCCAUGAAUCAGGUUCCCACCCCUGUCCUAACUGGCACAAAAAACUACAAUUGCAGUGUAACUAAGUAGUAGCAUAGUAUAGCUAGUUAAAUUGAUAACUAGAUAAUAUUACUCUAGCUGGGGCAGUCUGUUAAGACAAACAGGCUGGUUCCUACAGUUCAGUCCUUCAGUUGAAGUCUUUUGAGCUCUUCUGACAGCAAGCAUGGUUUCAUCAAGGGAGAAGCUUCAGACAGAGUUUUUCAAGGUCUGUUAUGUUACUGAGCUCUCCAGCAACAUGGUAGCUGACUGACACUCGUGUGAAUAGGAGGGCCUGGCAUCAGUAGACCUCUGCUUUGUCGCAGUACAGAAUGGUGAUUAUGACAUUUAUAGAAAUGCCCAUUUCAACUAGAUAUCCUUACUAGGCAAUGCAGAACAAAUUAAUGUUUAUAUAACUAAGUCCUUUAAAACAAUCUAAUAGUCUUUCAGCUGGUAAAUGUAACCCAUUUAAUAUUCCUACAGUUAGUUUAUAAUUAGCGACAAUACUCAAUACACAAUACUCAUAAUACUCAGACAGGUAGCUAAAGGAUAAUAGAUGCAUUAUGUGAUGCAGUAAGACUGAUACACCCUGUACCCUCAGAAGGGGAAAGUCAGUGUAGUCUGUCCUUAAAAAGCAUGAGGUUUUAAUCAGGUAUUAGCAGCAUGUGAACUGCCGCAGGUUCUCCUGUAAAGAUAGUUAUUGGGUAUUUAUUAAUACCAAGAACGCAAAAAUUGUACUUAUGGUGUUGGCAAGAGCAUUCUUGCUAACUCAAGAAUGAACUUGGGGUGCAAUGAAUGAUGCGAUUGUUCUCAUUGAUGAGGAUGCCACCGAUGCAUCUGUGAUGUUUGGGCCCGGGCAAGAACGACAUCCUUGAUAUUUACCUUCCUUUGAACUUCUGUUCUUGAGUAUUGGAACUGUACUUCGGCAAUGGAAGGUGACGUAAAACGAGAACACAAGUAUGGUCAAAUACGCAUAUUGAUAAACACCCAUUGUGUACUGAUCGUGGUAGUUCUUACUCUUACAGCUGGAACCAAUUCUAGAAUCAGCAUUAUAGUUAAGUAUCUCCAUCCUAACAACAGAGGUAGGAACACAGUCCUGGAAAUGAGGUCAAUAGUAAGGUAGUAAAGUUUCAUUCUUUAAAUGCACAGGUGUCAAUGUAAAUGCACAUCAUAGCUGUUAAAUAGAUCAUUUGAUGUUCUACAGUUAAGAGUGCAUCACAUCAGUGCAUAGUAGGUAUCAAGAUAUAAGGGUGAAGAUGCAGUGCUUUUAGUAAUAUAACAAGCACAUGGUAGAUAAUGUAUUUUUCUGUGUGUUACUUUUUCAUAAGGGCCAGAGCCUUAAGGGAGGUUGGUGGCCUGUUUUAGCUGCAACUCGGCCUGGAAAAGGGGAGUUUUAGCUGGGUGGUUCUCUGUGUCAGGACUGUGCUGGGCUGUCCUCUCCUCUCACUUCUGUAUCAGACUAUCCUCUCCUCUCACUGCUGCACUGGACUGUCCUCUGCUAUCCUUACUUCACCAUCCUGUCCUCUCCAGUCCCAGCUACACCACCCUGUCCUCAUCAGUCUAAGCUACACCAUCCUGUCCUCAUCAGUCUAAGCUACACCAACCUGUCCUCUCAGGUCUAAGCUACACCAGCCUGUCCUCUCCUGUCCCCUCUACACCAGCCUGUCCUCUCCUGUCCCCUCUACACCAUCCUGUCCUCUCCAGUCCCCGCUACAUCAGUCUGUGCUGUUCUGUUACUGCUGCAUUUUGUCAAUUGUUGCCUCAGCUUUGUGUUGGUUCAAGACACUAAACAUCUUAGCUUCAGCUUAUAAGUCGUAAGAGAAAUACUCAUGACUCACAUCAUCAGCAAGUAGCCAUAUUUUCUACUUAUAUUUUGUGAUGCAUACAGUACAUCAUAGAAGAGUUGUAAAUCGGCAAUGAGCCAAUGAGAUUUAUAGCAGUUUUGGGUUGUGAACAAUUGUUUGGCUGAUUAUAUUCCAUCGAGUGUCCUUCUGAUGUUCCACAUUUGUUGAAUGUGAAUUACCAAGAUUUUUGAAUGGGUUCUCUGUCCCAAACAAGGCCAAAGGGCAUCUGUAAUUCACACUGCUUUAGGUUAAUUAAAUAAUCAACAUCCAUAUCACUUGCUACAGCAGGUAAAGCAGCAGCUAAGUAACUGGGUUAAUGACUAAUUGCAGGUCCCAGGUUGGUGUUUUAGAUUAAUAAAGGUUUUAGAUUAAUAAAUGCUUAACAGGGAUUUAGUAAACAGCAGUUAUUGGAAAAUUGCAAUGCAGAAAUUUUAAUGUCUGCAAAAUGUGUUAUUAUGGUAACUGCUGGUUAAUGAAUGUGAAUUUAGGGAGAUGCACUAUACGUGGCCUGGGGCAAAGAUAAAGAAACUGGCUGCUGUAAGUGAACAUUUCCAGUCCAGAUUUAAAGGAACAUUUUCAGUUCAGAUUUAAAUACUGAGAUUGCAUCUGAUAAGUGCAUUCAAAGUGCUUUGUGUUCAAAGUCUGUCCUAUUAAGAGUUUUUUGUCCUUUCUUGUAGCAAACACUCUGUGAGCUAAACCCUAGCUUGCAGUUACAAUUGAGUAGAAGAGGCUGCAGUUUGGUUGACGCCAGCUGAAAUCGGGAUAGUCAUAUAGAAAUGAUGACACUGACUUAUGUUUCUGUAGACUCAGACGUUCCUCUUUGGAGAACUGAUGUUGAGAUCUGUGUGAUUAGGGUUUGGGUGUCUGUGAGUUUAACAAAUGAAGGAUAGGAAUGAAAAUGAAUGUUUUGGCUUUAGGAAUGAAUGCGACAAUGGCUAGGAAACGUACGGGAGUCAGGUCUGCGAGGGAACGAGGACGUAGAUUUGAUUUCAACAUAGGGUAGGGACCUAAUCAGCCCCAAGCCCCCACACAGCAUCUUCCUACAAUAUUGAUACCAGCGUAUCCCAGUGACACAGCAGUAAAUACCUGCCACACCUUCUCCCCAAGAGGGACAGUAGGACACAGCCUUGCUUCAUGUCAUUUUCCAUGUCAGGAUCAGAACGAGUAACUUACAAGGUUUAGGAGGAUUUCAGAAGUAUGAUCAUAUAUUCAUGUAGUUUUAAAUGCUUUUCCUAUCAUUUUUGCCUGUUAUCCUUUUAAUACCUGGAAAGUUGUAAUUUCUAAAAGUGCUACUAAGGAUUAUAGUAUGACGUGUAUUAUAAGAGAAUAAAGUAAGUGUAUGUGUACCAUAA